GUGACUGCUGUAGUAGCCAAGGAGCUUGAAGGAUCUGCUGGUCUCUAAUGGAGUUUCCAGACUUGGGCAAGCAUUGUUCAGAAAAAACUUGCAAACAGCUGGAUUUCCUUCCUUUAAAAUGUGAUGCAUGUGAGGAAGUUUUCUGUAAAAAUCAUAUCACAUAUGACCAACACAAAUGUACCUCUUCAUAUAAGAAGGAUGUGCAGGUUCCAGUAUGUCCUUUAUGUAACACUCCCAUCCCAGUGAGAAGAGGAGAGAUGCCAGACAUUGUAGUUGGAGCACACAUGGACAGGGACUGCAAAUAUGAUCCUACUCAGCGGAAACAGAGGAUUUUCACAAACAAGUGCUUAAAAGAAGGUUGCAAAAGGAAAGAGAUGAUGAAGCUUGUUUGUAACCAAUGCCAUGGAAACUUCUGUAUAAAACAUCGGCAUCCUCUGGAUCAUGACUGCAAAGGGGGAGGUCACUCCAUCUCCAAAGCUGGGCACAGCUACCUUCCUUGCUCCAUGCAAUAGGAUUCUAGAGCAGUUGGGUGACCAGUUCUGCACAAAUCUGGAAGUGGAUGGAUGUAUGAUUGGUGAUGGAAUAAACAGAUGUUCAGCAUGGUUCUAUUUCCUUGUAGAUAUGCAGCUAUAAUGAGAGCAUCUGAAUCCAACUUCAGGCCAACUGGAUCAAAUAAGAUAUCCUCUAACUGGUAUCUUGAGCGCAACAGAUGCUGAUGACCUGAGAGCAGUCCUAAUGGCUGGAUGAAAUUCUCAUUUAGUGUAAACUUAUUGUCUAACGUGUGUAUGCAUAUUUUUCUAUACUACAAAUAAACUAAAUUACUUAAUCUCUCAACUUCCAAUAAAGUGCUAUUCCUUUCUGUAAAGGACAGUACUGUGUUCUCUGUAUGUGGAAUCCCUCACUCCUAAUAGAACACGAAAGCAUUUUCUCCUGGUACAACUGAAGAGCAUGGAAAGUGAGGAAGAAGGAAAUAUCUGUAUACUUAUAGUAAAAGGAUACACUAAACUAGUGAACAAAACACUGUUACUACUAAUACCAUCCCCCCAAUGCACAUCUGAAAUCCAUUUGGAAACAAGCUGUAGUUAAGCAGUGUAUAGUGUGAACAUAUCACCUGAUCCAUCUGUAA